GACGAACGCUGGCGGCGUGCUUAACACAUGCAAGUCGAACGAAGAGCGAUGGAAGCUUGCUUCUAUCAAUCUUAGUGGCGAACGGGUGAGUAACGCGUAAUCAACCUGCCCUUCAGAGGGGGACAACAGUUGGAAACGACUGCUAAUACCGCAUACGAUCUGACCUCGGCAUCGAGGAUAGAUGAAAGGUGGCCUCUACAUGUAAGCUAUCACUGAAGGUGGGGAUUGCGUCUGAUUAGCUAGUUGGAGGGGUAACGGCCCACCAAGGCGAUGAUCAGUAGCCGGUCUGAGAGGAUGAACGGCCACAUUGGGACUGAGACACGGCCCAGACUCCUACGGGAGGCAGCAGUGGGGAAUCUUCCGCAAUGGACGAAAGUCUGACGGAGCAACGCCGCGUGAGUGAUGACGGCCUUCGGGUUGUAAAGCUCUGUUAAUCGGGACGAAAGGCCUUUUUGCGAAUAGUGAGAAGGAUUGACGGUACCGGAAUAGAAAGCCACGGCUAACUACGUG
rnacentral:rRNA from 1 species